GACGAACGCUGGCGGCAUGCUUAACACAUGCAAGUGGAGCGACGAACCUUUUUGGGGCAAAGCCGCGAACGGGUGAGUAACACGUGGGCAAUCUGCCCCGAUGACUGGAAUAACUCGAGGAAACUCGUGCUAAUACCGGAUGUGCCAUUCCCUCACAAGAGGGCCUGGUAAAGGGAGCUUCGGCUAUCCGCACCGGGAGGAGCCUGCGGCGCAUUAGCUAGUUGGUGGGGUAAAGGCCUACCAAGGCGACGAUGCGUAGCUGGUCUGAGAGGACGAUCAGCCACACUGGAACUGAAACACGGUCCAGACUCCUACGGGAGGCAGCAGUGGGGAAUCUUGCACAAUGGGCGACAGCCUGAUGCAGCAAUGCCGCGUGAGGGAAGACGGCCUUUGGGUUGUAAACCUCUUUCAGUUGGGAAGAAGGUCGGACGGUGAAUAGCCGCGUCGACUGACGGUACCUUCAGAAGAAGCCCCGGCUAACUACGUGCCAGCCGCCGCGGUAA
rnacentral:rRNA from 1 species